rnacentral:rRNA from 1 species
AUACGGAGGGUGCAAGCGUUACUCGGAAUCACUGGGCGUAAAGGACGCGUAGGCGGGAUGGUAAGUCUGAUGUGAAAUCCUACAGCUUAACUGUAGAACUGCAUUGGAAACUACUAACCUAGAGUAUGGGAGGGGGAGAUGGAAUUAGUGGUGUAGGGGUAAAAUCCGUAGAUAUCACUAGGAAUACCUAAAGCGAAGGCGAUCUCCUGGAACAAUACUGACGCUAAGGCGUGAAAGCGUGGGGAGCAAACGGGAUUAGAUACCCCAGUAGUCC